UACGAAGGGGGGCUAGCGUUGCUCGGAAUCACUGGGCGUAAAGCGCACGUAGGCGGAUUGUUAAGUCAGGGGUGAAAUCCUGGAGCUCAACUCCAGAACUGCCUUUGAUACUGGCGAUCUUGAGUCCGGGAGAGGUGAGUGGAACUGCGAGUGUAGAGGUGAAAUUCGUAGAUAUUCGCAAGAACACCAGUGGGCGAAGGCGGCUCACUGGCCCGGUACUGGACGCUGAGGUGCGAAAGCGUGGG
rnacentral:rRNA from 1 species